GCCAAUGAGAGGAGGAGCCAGGAAUCAGAUAUAGGCUCGGUCCAUGUAGAAUCGGUCUCUCUUCUUCACCCUUCUUCGAACAUGGCGCUGUGUUCUUGAUUUGCUCUGUCUGUUUCAAAACCUUCAUUUUUUACUUCAUUAAAGUACACCAUUUGAACUUUUCCGGGACUACAUUGUCUCUUUUUAACGUCCUCCUGGACUCGAGAACAAGAACAACGAGCAAAUCUACACUAGUCAGCUUUUGGUUACGGUCCCCUUUUCCGCCCAAAAUGUGGCAAUGAAAUGAAUUGUGUGAAAUGUGGAUUUGUGUCUGCCCUGGCAGCUCCUUGAGAAGUGCUGCUCUGGGAGCAUUCACUAUUUUCACCCUAUACCGUUCCUCUCUAUCCUGGGCUUCAUCAUCAAUAUCGACGCGUUGAUGGUUCCUGUGCUGCUUGAAGGACAGCGAUAUGUCCUGACCGACAGGUUCAGCCAGGACCACUUCGAGCUUCUCUUUAACUCCAUCAGAGCAUAAGGUGGCUGGAAUAACAACCCUAAUACCAGCCAGGUCAAAUACAUCUUCCGGAAGCUGAUGGUCCGGUGUGGGGUUGUUAAACCAAGCAGCAAAGGCAAUGUGACGGCACAGGAUGACACAGAGUCCCUACCAGCUGUAGCAAUGUCCUCUGCUGCCCAGUCCUACCACAUCGACACAUCUACAAACCUGUCAGCUGCAAAUAUGUCCAUCCCCAUUUGCUGACAUUCCUGCCCUUGUACAUGACCACAGCUGCCUUCCCACCCGCUUCAAUGGUCUUGUGGACAACGCUCUCGUGUACAUUUCAGGUAUAGUUAUCAAACUACCGUAAAUGAUAACUGCCGUAAAGUAUUUCCAGUAUUAUUAAAGUAUUGAUUACAACGUUUAAAAUUCAAUAAAUGAAAAAGUCAUGAAAGAUAAUAUGAGGAGGAAAGGCGUGUUUAGUUAUGUAUUGAAUGUACAAUGUCAAAAUCUUCUGUUAUGUGCGAUAUCGGACAUUGGUGAAAGGAGGGCGGAAGAUGACGCCACAGCCUCCAUUGAAGAGGAGGAGCCAAAUGAGAUAUAUAGUCAGGUGACGGAGCCUUGUGGACGCUCUUUCUGGACGGCCGCGACUGCGGGAGG